rnacentral:rRNA from 1 species
UACGUAGGGACCAAGCGUUGUUCGGAUUCACUGGGCGUAAAGGGUGCGUAGGCGGUCGGGUAAGUCUGAUGUGAAAUCUCACAGCUUAACUGUGAAACUGCAUUGGAUACUAUUCGGCUAGAGAGUUGGAGGGGGGACUGGAAUUCUUGGUGUAGCAGUGAAAUGCGUAGAUAUCAAGAGGAACACCAGUGGCGAAGGCGAGUCCCUGGACAACUUCUGACGCUGAGGCACGAAAGCUAGGGGAGCAAACAGG